rnacentral:rRNA from 1 species
GACGAACGCUGGCGGCGUGCUUAACACAUGCAAGUCGAACGGAAAGGCCCUGCUUUUGUGGGUUGCUCGUUUGGCGAACGGGUGAGUAACACGUGAGUAUCCCCCCCUUAACUUUGGGAUAACUUCAGGAAACUGGGGCGAUUACCCGAUAGAAGCUCCUGCUCCGUGUGGUGGGUUGGAAAGUUUCGGCGGUGGGGGAUGGUAUCGCGGCUUAUCAGCUGGUUGGUGAGGUAGUGGCUUUCCAGGGCUGUGACGGGUAGCCGGCCUGAGAGGGUGACCGGCCACAAUGGGACUGAGAUACGGACCAGAAUCCUACGGGAGGCAGCAGUGGGGAAUAUUGCGCAAUGGGCGGAAGCCUGAUGCGGCAACGCCGCGUGCGGGAUGCCGGCUUUUGGGUUGUAAACCGCUUUCGCCUGUGACGAAGCGUGAGUGACGGUAAUGGGUAAAGAAGCCACGGCUAACUACGUG